rnacentral:rRNA from 1 species
UACGAAGGGGGCUAGCGUUGCUCGGAAUUACUGGGCGUAAAGCGCACGUAGGCGGCUUUCUAAGUCGGGGGUGAAAUCCUGGAGCUCAACUCCAGAACUGCCUUCGAUACUGGAGAGCUCGAGUCCGGGAGAGGUGAGUGGAACUGCGAGUGUAGAGGUGAAAUCGUAGAUAUUCGCAAGAACACCAGUGGCGAAGGCGGCUCACUGGCCCGGUACUGACGCUGAGGUGCGAAAGCGUGGGGAGCAAACAG